UUUCACAGGUCAGUUACAAAGCCACAAAGAAAACCUCCUAGUGAGAAGUAAAAAAUGAUGCUUUCACUGUACAUGAUCAUCAUGGUUCUGGCAGCAAUGGCUCAGACAAAAGAGUCAAUAGAAUGUGAUUUAUCUGGACGCUGUGGAGCUCUGUGGUGUAUUGGAGUUCUCGGAGAGCCACUAUUUCUUCGCCUACCCACUGGUGAAAGUACAAGGAUCAGUCUGACAAUAAAUAAUACAAAGACAAUUUUGAACAUUGUCAAUAAUGAGGUUAAGCAUAAAGAUGAGGAGCAC